GAUGAAGAACGCAGCGAAAUGCGAUAAGUAAUGUGAAUUGCAGAUUUCAGUGAAUCAUCGAAUCUUUGAACGCACAUUGCGCCCGCCAGUAUUCUGGCGGGCAUGCCUGUUCGAGCGUCAUUUCAACCAUCAAGCCCCCGGGCUUGUGUUGGGGACCUGCGGCUGCCGCAGGCCCUGAAAAGCAGUGGCGGGCUCGCUGUCACACCGAGCGUAGUAGAUUUUAUCUCGCUCUGGGCGUGCUGCGGGUUCCGGCCGUUAAACCACCCUUUUAACCCAAGGUUGACCUCGGAUCAGGUAGGAAGACCCGCUGAACUUAAGCAUAUCAAUAAGCGGAGGA
rnacentral:misc_RNA from 1 species